GACGAACGCUGGCGGCGUGCCUAAUACAUGCAAGUUGAGCGCUGACGGUUGGUACUUGUACCCACUGGAUGAGCAGCGAACGGGUGAGUAACGCGUGGGGCAUCUGCCUUUGAGCGGGGGACAACAUUUGGAAACGAAUGCUAAUACCGCAUAAAAACUUUAACCACAAGUUUCAAGUUUGAAAGAUGCAAUUGCCUCACUCAUAGAUGAUCCCGCGUUGUAUUAGUUAGGUGGUGAGGUAAAGGCUCACCAAAGCGAAGAUACAUAGCCGACCUGGGAGGGUGAUCGGCCAAAAUGGGAAUGAGAAACCGGCCAAACCUCUACGGGGGGCAGCAGGAGGGAAACAUCGGAAAAUGACGAAAGGCUUGCCGAGGAACGCCGCGGUAGGUGAGGAAGGUUUCGGAUCGUUAAACUCUGUUUGUAGAGAAGGAAGUGGAGGAGAGUGAAAAGCUCAUCAAGUGACGGUAACUACACAGAAAGCGACGGCUAACUACGUG
rnacentral:rRNA from 1 species